GGGACCCUUAUAGGACCAGGGAGGUAUAAGUAGGGGGCCGGCGGCACCGCGUGACUCUGAGGGCACUUCCGGGAGCUUAGGGCGAACUUUGCUGAGGUGAUUGGAGGCCCGGCUUCCCGCCUCUAGGCCGCCACCAUGGAGGCCCUAAUCCCCGUUAUUGCCAAGCUCCAAGAGGUCUUCGGUGUGGUGGGCAAGGACAUCAUCCAGCUGCCACAGAUUGUGAUCUUUGGCUCUCAGAGCAGUGGCAAGGCU